GCACUACUGAGGAGUCCCACAAUAGGAUGAAACGGUCGUGCAGUGC
rnacentral:hammerhead_ribozyme from 1 species